AGCAGCCGCGGUAAUUCCAGCUCCAAUAGCGUAUAUUAAAGUUGUUGCAGUUAAAAAGCUCGUAGUUGAAUUUCGGGAUCAAUCUAUCGGUCGUGCAAUAGUACGUACUGAUUUUAUUGAUUCCUCCCUUCUGAUGAACUAUGAUGUCAUUAAUUUGGUGUCAUAGGGAAUCAGGACUGUUACUUUGAAAAAUUAGAGUGUUUAAAGCAGGCUCACGCUUGAAUACAUUAGCAUGGAAUAACGAAAUAGGACGUUUGAUUCUAUUUUGUUGGUUUCUAGGAUCGACGUAAUGAUUAAUAGGGAUAGUUGGGGGCAUUAGUAUUCAAUUGUCAGAGGUGAAAUUCUUGGAUUUAUUGAAGACUAACUACUGCGAAAGCAUUUGCCAAGGGUGUUUUCAUUAAUCAAGAACGAAAGUUAGGGGAUCGAAGACGAUCAGAUACCGUCGUAGUCUUAACCAUAAACUAUGCC
rnacentral:misc_RNA from 1 species